rnacentral:lncRNA from 1 species
UGUGGGUUUGGUUUUAGUUAAAUUCUGAAAGUGAGAAUUGUUUUGAUUCAUUUCUCUUUUUUUCUUUUUUAAAGUGUGAACGUGUCUUUUUAUCUGUGCUUACUUAUAAGUCAUAAAUAAGUAUGGGGGUGGCCAUUAUUCAAAUUUCAUCUUAAAAUGAAAAGGGAUUUGAUUCUAAAGAAAAAGGAAUAAUGAGUGAUUGUGUCUAAUCAUGC